CCUACGGGAGGCAGCAGUGGGGAAUAUUGGGCAAUGGAGGGAACUCUGACCCAGCGACGCCGCGUGUGGGAUGAAGGCCUUCGGGUUGUAAACCGCUUUCAGCAGGGAAGAAGCGAAAGUGACGGUACCUGCAGAAGAAGCACCGGCUAACUAUGUGCCAGCAGCCGCGGUAAUACAUAGGGUGCAAGCGUUGUCCGGAAUUAUUGGGCGUAAAGAGCUCGUAGGUGGUUCGUCACGUCGGAUGUGAAAAUCUGGGGCUUAACCCCAGACCUGCAUUCGAUACGGGCGAGCUAGAGUGUGGUAGGGGAGACUGGAAUUCCUGGUGUAGCGGUGGAAAUGCGCAGAUAUCAGGAGAACACCAAUGGCGAAGGCAGGUCUCUGGGCCAUUACUGACACUGAGGAGCGAAAAGCGUGGGGAGCGAACAGGAUUAGAUACCCUGGUAGUCCACGCCGUAAACGGUGGGCACUAGUUGUGGGAAACCUUCCACGGUUUCUGCGACGCAGCUAACGCAUUAAGUGCCCCGCCUGGGGAGUACGAGNGCAGAUAAAUAANAAAUUAGAAUAGUUAGNGNGNGAGNGCGAGAGACACGAGGAGAGG
rnacentral:rRNA from 1 species